CGGACCUGUGAAAUCAUGACGCUUUCAUCCAAACCUUCAUUACGGUGAAUCUGUGCCUUUGUUUGAGACGUUAUUUGUGUUGUUUGAAGCACAUGGGCUUCGUUGAAUGAAAUUGAAGGUGGGUUUCGCUUAAAACCGUUUUCUGUUAAUCCGUUUCAGAGCGGGAGCCUGUUAUUAAAGAGCCUUCCUCCUCUCUUUUAAACGCAUUCAUUAGUCAAAGCCGCCCUCGUCACAUGACUCACGGAAGCCGAAUCGCUUAAGUUCAUGUUGUGAAUGAAAUUCUUAAAGGAAUGUUUAGUUUAAACCGCCUCGUUUCAGAUUCACGGGCGUCCGGAUGAGUCGCAGCGGGCCGAAGAGCGACACCCUCGUAAUCGCAUAUCUGCAGUUUGUCGUGUAUUUUGGUCCAGAAGUUGCUUUGUAAGUUAUAUGCACAUCGUGCAUAAACCCUUGUUUGCGAUGAGUAGCUGCAGUUUCCUCUUUUACGUGUUUUGGCAAAAUGGUGCUAAUCAGACGAUGUUCCUCUGGAAAUGCCAAGGUUGUUUUGGUGAACCUUGAGUUUGUGUCUUCGCUCUCUGCAGAAGCUCUUGGUGAUUUGAGACCGGCUUUUACAAUGGUUUGUAUCAGACGCCCUCGGUCACGGUGAGGUUGAUCUGUGUCACUGUGGUGUCACAUGCUUUCGGCUGGAGAAAACCAACGACCCGAACGCUCAAGUGUUCUGCACUCGUGACCGCCGAACGCAUCGGUGUGUUGAUGUUCGACGGCACGUCUUCUGUUAAGGGUGUCUCUCCUCGGUCCUGACGUCUCUCCUUCCCCUCAGUUGAGUGUUUCUGGAAGCUGAAACUCUGCGGUGAAGAAGUACGUGUGUCUUCAGAAGAGAAGCUCUGUGUUUAUAUGCAUGUUUGCAUAACGUUCGCCUCUCGUGCUGUUGUUGGAUAGAUGGAGAUUUGGUUUAUGCAGGAAUGUGUGUGUGUGUGGGUCUGUGUGUGUGUGCGCAUCUCCGUUCCUCAAGUGCAGUUUUAGUAUUUGUGUUUAUCCUCUCGCGUUUGCGACGUCAGCUGAACAUCAUCCGCUUCAUGUGUGACGUGGAAGUUCAGGCUCGAGACGCCGGAGGUCUUGUAUGAUUUUAGUCUCCACCAGAAACUUGUUUGUUUUUUUCAUUUUUAUGUAAUGACCAAAUAUUUUCUGUCAUGUAUAAUAAAUAUCACAAGCAUCA